UACAGAGGGUGCUAGCGUUGUUCGGAAUCAUUGGGCGUAAAGGGCGCGUAGGCGGCCCGCACAGUCUGCGGUGAAAACCCCCGGCUUAACCGGGGGCCGGCCGUGGAAACUGUCGGGCUAGAGGCCGGGAGAGGGCAGCGGAAUUCCCGGUGUAGCGGUGAAAUGCGUAGAGAGUCGGGAGGAACACCGGCGGCGAAGGCAGCUCGCUGGGACGGUACUGACGCUGAGGCGCGAAAAGCGUGGGGAGCAAGCAGGG
rnacentral:rRNA from 1 species